rnacentral:rRNA from 1 species
UACAGAGGGUGCGAGCGUUGUCCGGAAUCACUGGGCGUAAAGGGCGCGUAGGCGGCCUGAUAAGUAGGGGGUGAAAUCCUGUGGCUUAACUGCAGGGCUGCCUCCUAGACUGUUAGGCUCGAGCACGGUAGAGGCAGAUGGAAUUCCCGGUGUAGCGGUGGAAUGCGUAGAGAUCGGGAAGAACAUCGGUGGCGAAGGCGGUCUGCUGGGCCGUUGCUGGCGCUGAGGCGCGACAGCGUGGGGGAGCAAACAGG